rnacentral:rRNA from 1 species
AGUGAAGCGGCAACAGCUCAAAUUUGAAAUCUGGCCCUUGUGGUCCGAGUUGUAAUUUGUAGAGGAUGCUUUUGGUGCGGUGCCUUCCGAGUUCCCUGGAACGGGACGCCAUAGAGGGUGAGAGCCCCGUCUGGUUGGACACCAAGCCUCUGUAAAGCUCCUUCGACGAGUCGAGUAGUUUGGGAAUGCUGCUCUAAAUGGGAGGUAUAUGUCUUCUAAAGCUAAAUAUUGGCCAGAGACCGAUAGCGCACAAGUAGAGUGAUCGAAAGAUGAAAAGCACUUUGAAAAGAGGGUUAAAUAGUACGUGAAAUUGUUGAAAGGGAAGCGUUUGUGACCAGACUUGGGCUUGGUUAAUCAUCCGGCGUUCUCGCCGGUGCACUUUGCCAGCCCAGGCCAGCAUCAGUUCGUCGCGGGGGAUAAAGGUAGCGGGAAUGUGGCUCCUCGGAGUGUUAUAGCCCGUUGCGUAAUACCCUGUGGUGGACUGAGGUUCGCGCAUCUGCAAGGAUGCUGGCGUAAUGGUCAUCAACGACCCGUCUUGAAACACGGACCAAGGAGUCGUCUUCGUAUGCGAGUGUUCGGGUGUCAAACCCCUACGCGUAAUGAAAGUGAACGCAGGUGAGAGCUUCGGCGCAUCAUCGACCGAUCCUGAUGUUCUCGGAUGGAUUUGAGUAAGAGCAUACGGGGCCGGACCCGAAAGAAGGUGAACUAUGCCUGUAUAGGGUGAAGCCAGAGGAAACUCUGGUGGAGGCUCGCAGCGGUUCUGACGUGCAAAUCGAUCGUCAAAUAUGGGCAUGGGGGCGAAAGACUA